GACGAACCGAGCGAACGUUAUUCGGAAUCACUGGGCUUAAAGGGCGCGUAGGUGGUGACCUAAGCGUGCGGUGAAAGCCCGAGGCUCAACCUCGGGUCGGCCGUGCGAACUGGGUCACUGGAGCAGAAUAGAGGCAGGUGGAAUUCCGGGUGUAGCGGUGGAAUGCGUAGAGAUCCGGAAGAACACCGGUGGCGAAGGCGGGUCUCUGGGCCGAUACUGACGCUGAGGAGCGAAAGCGUGGGGAGCGAACAGG
rnacentral:rRNA from 1 species